rnacentral:pre_miRNA from 1 species
UCUUAUGGAUGGGCAAAGAAAGUGGUUUCUUGAGAUGGAAUCUACUCCUGAUGAAGGUGCUGUCAA